rnacentral:rRNA from 1 species
CACGUAGGGCGCAAGCGUUGUCCGGAAUUAUUGGGCGUAAAGAGCUCGUAGGCGGUCUGUUGCGUCCGCUGUGAAAACUCGGGGCUUAACCCCCGAGCCUGCAGUGGAUACGGGCAGACUAGAGGUAUGCAGGGGAGAACGGAAUUCCUGGUGUAGCGGUGAAAUGCGCAGAUAUCAGGAGGAACACCGGUGGCGAAGGCGGUUCUCUGGGCAUUACCUGACGCUGAGGUGCGAAAGCGUGGGGAGCAAACAGG